rnacentral:rRNA from 1 species
UUCGCAAUGCCCGAAAGGGUGACGAAGCGACGCCGCGUGAGCGAAGAAGGCCUUAGGGUUGUAAAGCUCUGUCAGAGGUUAAGAAAUGUAAACAGGUUAAAACCCUGCUUAUUUGACAAAAGCCUCAAAGGAAGCCACGGCUAACUCUGUGCCAGCAGCCGCGGUAAUACAGAGGUGGCGAGCGUUGUUCGGUAUUAUUGGGCGUAAAGAGCACGUAGGUGGUUCUGUAAGUCAGAUGUGAAAGCCUUCUGUUCAAAGGAAGAACGGCAUCUGAAACUGCUGAUCUUGAGUGUAGGAGGGGAGAGUGGAACUUCUGGUGGAGCGGUGAAAUGCGUAGAUAUCAGAAGGAACGUCGGCGGCGAAAGCGACUCUCUGGCCUAUUACUGACACUGAGUGUGCGAAAGUUAGGGGAGCAAACGGGAUUAGAUACCCCGGUAGUCCUAACCGUAAACGAUGGGCACUAAGUAGAGGGGUUUU